UACAGAGGGGGCAAGCGUUGUUCGGAAUUACUGGGCGUAAAGGGCGCGUAGGCGGCCCGCUAAGUCGAACGUGAAAUCCCUGGGCUCAACCCGGGAACUGCGUCCGAUACUGGCAGGCUUGAAUCCGGGAGAGGGAUGCGGAAUUCCAGGUGUAGCGGUGAAAUGCGUAGAUAUCUGGAGGAAUACCGGUGGCGAAGGCGGCAUCCUGGACCGACAUUGACGCUGAGGAGCGAAAGCUAGGGGAGCAAACGGG
rnacentral:rRNA from 1 species